GUCUCUUCAAAUUUUCUAUGUAUAGACUAUUACCAAUGUGCUUAACUUCUCAUUUGGGGACUUUGGAUGCCUAGGUGUCAACUAAGUGGUGUUCAUAGGCUAUUUUAGGUAGAUAUCUUGUUCUGCAUUGUCACGUCCUAGAUCCAGAAUACAACAUGGUCGUGUUAUCGAGAGGUAUAGCCCACGAUAAUACGAAGCCAACAUUACAUUUAGCUUUCAAAUUCAUCACAAAUAAAAUAGAAUAACUAAAAGUCUAAUUUCAAUAUCCAUUAAAUAAAACCAAUAUUAGUUCAGAGCGUCUGCAUUCAAACAUAAAAAUCAAACCCAUAAUUCUUACUAUUCAGAAAAUCACUAACUACAAAUUUAUAAUUUAAUUAAAGAACUAAAGUUCUACUCUGCUAUAUCGAUCGCCAAUCUUGCUAGCGUGAACUCCAAACUAGUGUCAUUUUGUGUUCCUAUCAACCCUAUUCAUCAAGAGAGAGAAUAGAAAAAUAGAGGUAUAUGAGCGACACAAUUUAAUAAGUAAAUCUUUCGCUAAUUUACCGAAUCAAGCAUAUGUUUUUUUAUAUAAAUGCAUCAUUUAAGAAAAAUAAUAGAUAUUACAAAAUAAGCAUUUCAUAAUACGAUAUAUUAAAACUACGUCAUUAAGCAAAUCAUCCAUCUUUUAUAAACAUAGUACCAAGUUUCUUAUUGCAAAUGAAUUCGUAAAUCAUUUUUCAUGUCAUGUAAUUCUAUCAUGGAUCAAAAUAUUGCUCAUAGAUAUUCGUGCUAUAGUCACUAUAACCCAUGAGAGAGCCAUCUUCGUAAUCAACAAGAUAUUAUAAUUCAUACUUGUUACCAGCUUUAACUUGUUGGCAGAAUGCAGUUAGUUAGAUGCUAGCUCCAAAGUAUCGAUUGACCCCUAUUUGUAGAGGCAGUCCGAGCAAUCUGAGAGCCUUUGAAAACUUAUAUUUUUUUCUUGAAACAUACAGUAAGCGACCCGGGCACCAGGAUAUGGACUCAAUCAAGACCAAGGUUAUUUAACAUAGUUCAUCAUUACUGGAUUCUAUGGACACUUGGCAAAGUCGGGUGAUCUGUACAGUAGGCAACCCGGGCACCAGAGUAGUUUAGGAACCUAAUUCAGGGGUCAACUCGAGUUCGUAGAUCAAGUCGACAUGAUCCGACUCCAGAUUUCUUGAACAUUCUAAAGAGAGAAAGGAGAGAGAAAGUACAAAGAGAAAGUGGAGAGAGGAGAGAGAAAGUAGAAAAAAAGUGAAGAGGGGAGAGAGAAGAGAGAGAAAAUAAGAGAGAGAAAGAUGAGAGAGAAAAAAGAGAGAGAA
rnacentral:lncRNA from 1 species